UACGUAGGCAGCAAGCGUUGUUCGGAGUUACUGGGCGUAAAGGGUGCGUAGGCGGCUUUCUAAGUUUGGUGUGAAAGCCCACGGCUCAACCGUGGAGGGUCAUUGGAAACUGGGGAACUUGAGUGCAGAAGAGAAAAGCGGAAUUCCACGUGUAGCGGUGAAAUGCGUAGAGAUGUGGAGGAACACCAGUGGCGAAGGCGGCUUUUUGGUCUGUAACUGACGCUGAGGCGCGAAAGCGUGGGGAGCAAACAGG
rnacentral:rRNA from 1 species